UUUUGUAUACUAACUCUGAUUAAUGAAAGCUUCCUAUUUCACUUAUAUAACUUUGUACUAGUAGUUUGGAGUUGGAUUGUAUAAUUAUUUCUGGGGCGUUACAAUAUCUCCAUCUUUGUCACUUAUUUAUGAUGUUCUCGAUUUAGAUUAGAGGCAAAGGAUAAAAUGUUAUGGACAUGGGAAUUUAAUGGUCAAUAUUGUGUAGCUUCAUUUGUAAUCAUCAUCAGGCUUCUUAUGGUCUCUCAAGAAUGGAAGGAAGUUGUAGACAUUAUCCUAGUGGAACAAUGCACCAGGUAAAGGCCUAUAAGGAGAUAAAGGAGUACUUAAUUAACAACGUCAUUACUUGCAUAGAUCAGGAAUAAGGGUAUUAAAAAAACCAAAGAGUAAUUCAUUGACUAUUUGGAACUGUUGCUCAUAGUGCACUUUUGAAAUUACUAAAGGCUUUUAAGGUUUGAAGCACUUGCAAAAGGAAUUAAACAAACUACGAUUACAAGAAUAGAAGCACCAAUGGAUAUGUUUACAUGUUGGGAGGUAUGAUGAAACAUGAAGCUCUUCAGAGAGCUUUGUAGCAAAACUCAAAGCUGAUGUGAGAAAAUCAGCAUUUUUAGCAUUUUUUUAAAAAAUUUUAAAAUCAAAUGGGAUUGGUGUUUUAACCGUCAUUGAAGAUAGAAGAUAAUGCAUCGUGAUGAAUUAUUUGAAGCAGUUGUAAUAUUUUUUAUUUGAAAUAUUUUUGAGUGAGUUAGAUAUUGUUUUUAUUGUAUUGUGUCAGUGUUAUGAACGUUAUAGUUGUAUUAUACAAAUGAAAUUAUAGAUUU